GUUGCUGACAGUUAAAAAGACUCGUAGUUGAACUUCAUGAGCAGUAGGUAGCUUACUACCUGCUCUCUACCAGUCUUUCGACUGUUACUGUGAGAAAAUUAGAGUGUUUCAAGCAGGCUAUUGCAGGAAUACAUUAGCAUGGAAUAACGAAUGUACCUACAAUUUGGUUAAUUGUAGAUUACUAUUAAUAGGGACAGUUGGGGGCAUUAGUAUUUAAUUGUCAGAGGUGAAAUUCUUGGAUUUGUUAAAGACUAACGUAUGCGAAAGCAUUUGCCAAGGAUGUUUUCAUUAAUCAAGAACGAAAGAUAGGGGAUCAAAGACGAUCAGAUACCGUCGUAGUCCUAUCUAUAAACUAUGCCGACUAGGGAUUGGAAUGAUCUGCAUCAUUUCAGUACCUUAUGAGAAAUCAAAGUCUUUGGGUUCUGGG
rnacentral:rRNA from 1 species